UACGAGGGGGGCGAGCGUUGUUCGGAAUUAUUGGGCGUAAAGGGCGCGUAGGCGGUCAGAUAAGUCUUGUGUGAAAUCUUCGGGCUCAACUCGAAGUCUGCACAGGAAACUAUCUGGCUUGAGUGUGGGAGAGGUGAGUGGAAUUCCUGGUGUAGCGGUGAAAUGCGUAGAUAUCAGGAGGAACACCUGUGGCGAAAGCGGCUCACUGGACCACAACUGACGCUGAGGCGCGAAAGCUAGGGGAGCAAACAGG
rnacentral:rRNA from 1 species